CCCAGUCCUUAUCCAACUCAUGAUGCUAGCACCACAACAGAGCUAGAGGAGUUGGAGGACGAUAUAUUCAGACCAAACUUUGUCGCCAGCCCUAGUCGUGUACCGGAUCCCAGUCCCAGCCAUAGUCCCAUCUCAGAGUUUGAAGAAGAAGACCUGUUACCUCUUAGCCUUGAUCCAAGCUUUAGUACCACCUCCAGACCUAGCCAAAGUUCGGGAGCAGCCAUACACCUAGUUCUAACCUAACCAGUAUGACAGGCUUGGAGGAAGGCGGGGCUGCAAAGAUGAAUACAGAGCUGGCCUUCACCUCAACCACCAGUUCUGCCGCACCUACAACAGUCAGGAUGAAUUCAGACAUCGAAGGGUCAGGGUCGGGAUUCCUGCCUCAGAGUAGCACCACAGUAGCAGCCCCUGCUGGCGGGAGGACCAAACAUACAACUCCCUAGUCGAUAAGCCAUUCAUUGAAACAAAGACAAGAAUUCAAGGCAGCAAUAGGCUUGCUCUACCAAGGGAGGAACCGGCAGUGGAUACCUCUACAGUUCUUCGUGAUGCAGCUGCUGUAAAACCAACCCCAUCCAGACAACAUGAUUCAUAUACAUCGGGUUGGUUGAUCAUCGUUGCCUUCGUCGCGGGCGUGGUGGUCUUGGUCGUAAUCUGUGUCGCCAUAGGUACCAGAGACAGAUGGAAUGCACCGGCCCAGGCUUCUGAGAAGAAGGUCGCCAACGAGAGCUCAGGAGAUGAGAAGGCGGAGCGGGAAAUGGAGAGGUUUCUGUCUAAAGAGAGGCCAAGGGAAAACAUCCACGCUGGAGAGUACACUGUUAUACUUCUGGAGGACCUCCCUGAGAAAGAGCCGCUGGACUGAGACGGGCCAAGGAGAUGCAGAACGGGGACAAAAUAAGAACAACGGACACCUGAGAAAUAGAAUGGAACGGGUCUCCCCAUUCUAGUCAAUGGUGGCAUAGUGGGUGGCAUAGUGGGUGGCAUAAUGGGUGGCAUAAUGGGUGACAUAAUGGGUGGACCCCCCCAUUCUUGACACACACAGGAAACUGUUGAGUGUGAAAAACCCAGCAGCGUUGUAGUUCUUGACACAAACGGGUGCACCUGGCACCUACCCUGUUCAAAGGCACUUAAAUAUUUUGUCUUGCCCAUUCCCCCUCUGAAUGGCUCACAGACACAAUCCAUGUCUCAAUUGUCUCAAAGCACAAUCCAGUCUCCUCCCCUUCUUCUACACUGAUUGACGUGAAUUUAACAAGUGACAUCAAUAAGGGAUCAUGGCUUUCACCUGGAUUCACCUGGUCAGUCUAUGUCAUGGAAAGAUUUCUCACAGCAGGGAAAGAAUCCUGCAGCAACUGGAAAUGUGAAUGAUUGUGUGGUUUAUAAUUAAUGGACAUUUUUGUAGGGGUUGAUAAUGCAUUUUUGUACUUAUGGCAAAUCAAGUCUGACAUUUUUAGCGGAAAUUACAAACUUUAGAACUCUUUGUAAACUUUGAAUAACUACACGUUUGCAUUUCCUACCUUGCAGGAAAUUUGCUGCAACAACCGGGUGAUCAAAUUAAGACCCUACAUCUGUAGCUAGUGAUUCCUGAUUCUAUGACUAUGAAUGGAGACAUUCUAGAAUGUAUGUGGGACACGUCUGUGGCGUGUGAGUUUGAACUGUCCCUUUGACCUUUGGUAGCCCAGAUAAGUCAGAUUGAUAAACACCUGCUCCGAUGGGCUAUGGAUGAACACGCUGCUAUAUCUCUGUUGACAUUAUGUAUAUUAUCAACGUUACAAACACUGUCAGAACCAUUGAUAGAAAAAAAAGAAAACAAGGUCAUACUGAAUUUAUAAUU